GCGGGGUUCAACCCAAAAAGGGGGGGGGGACCCCAAACCCCAAACCUGCGGCGUGCUGCUGCCUUGCUGCCUCUGCUCCGCAUCUCCCGACCCCCACAUUGCCCCCCCAUGGCCCUACAACCCUAUGGGGCGACCCUACAACCCUAUGGGGCGACCCUACAACCCUAUGGGGCGACCCUACAACCCUAUGGGGCGACCCUACAACCCUAUGGGGCGACCCUACAACCCUAUGGGGUGAGCCCAGGGGAGGGGGAUGGGACAGACAGUGAGGUGGGGGGAGCACAGAGGGUGCAGCAGCAGAGGAGAAGUGCAGCGCCCAGCAGCAGUGCAGCACCAGCAGCAAUGCAGCGCCCGGGAGCAAUGCAGCACCCAGCAGCAGUGCAGCAGCAGCACAGCAGUGGCAGCGAUGCAAAACCCAACCCCGCCUCCCCUCCCCUCCCCCAUCCCAAAUGCACGCAGCCCCAGCGCAGCAGCAGCACAAGUGUUGCUGCAGGGAUGCAAGGAUGCGUUGCUGUGGGGGUGCAGGGAUGGCAAUGCUGCAGAGAUGCAGGGGUGUGUGGAUGCAGGGUGCAGGGCUGCAGGGAUACAGAGAUGGGCAGAUGCAGGGCUGCAGGGAUGUGGAUGCGGGACUGCAGAGAAGCAGGGAUACAGAGAUGUGUGGAUGCAGGGAUGCAGGGGUGUGGAUGCAAGGCUGCAGAGAUGCAGGGACGCAGAGAUAUGUGGGUGCAGGGCUGUGUGGAUGCAGGGCUGCAGAGAUGCAGGGAUGCAGAGAUGUGUGGAUGCAGGGAUACAGAGAUGCAUGGCUGUGUGGAUGCAGAGAUGCAGGGCUGCGUGGCUGCAGGGCUACAGAGAUGUGUGGAUGCAGAGCUGCAGGGCUGCAGGGCUGUGUGGGUGCAGGGCUGCAGGGAUACAAAGAUGCAGGGAUGAGGAUGCAGGGCUGCAGGGCUGCAGAGAUGUGUGGGUGCAGGGAUGGAGGGCUGCAGAGAUGCAGGGAUGUGGAUGCAGGGCUGCAGGGCUGUGUGGAUGCAGGGGUGCAGAUGCAGGGCUGCAGAGAUGCAGGGCUGUGUGGAUGCAGGGAUGGAGAGAUAGGCUGCAGAUGCAGGGAUACAAAGAUGCAGGGAUGUGGAUGCAGGGCUGCAGGGCUGUGAGGAUGCAGGGCUGCAGAGAUGCAGGGCUGCAGGGCUGCGUGUGCAGGGCUGUACCUGAGAAGAAAUGCGCCUUGAAGCCCUUCUUGGACACGGUGUUGUCGGACUUGAACUCGAUGCGCAUGUUGUUGUACUGCGACGUGAUGACGGCCGGCCGCGCCGCACCGCAGAACUUCCCGUGCAGCUUGGAGUCGGCCGUCAGCCCGCUGCGCACCUCCACAAAGUCGUACUUACACACCUGGGGGGGGGA
rnacentral:lncRNA from 1 species